rnacentral:rRNA from 1 species
GUGCCAGCAGCCGCGGUAAUACCGGCAGCCCGAGUGAUGGCCGAUCUUAUUGGGCCUAAAGCGUCCGUAGCUGGCUGCGCAAGUCCGUCGGGAAAUCCACUCGCUCAACGAGUGGGCGUCCGACGGAAACUGCACAGCUUGGGACCGGAAGGCUCGAAGGGUACGUUCGGGGUAGGAGUGAAAUCCUGUAAUCCUGGACGGACCGCCGGUGGCGAAAGCACUUCGAGAAAACGGAUCCGACAGUGAGGGACGAAAGCCAGGGUCUCCAACCGGAUUAGAAACCCCUGUAGUCC